rnacentral:tRNA from 1 species
GUAAAUAUAGUUUAUACAAAAACUCCAGACUGUGAAUCUGGAAAUAGGAAAUUAAAUUCCUUAUUUACC